UACGUAGGCAGCGAGCGUUGUUCGGAGUUACUGGGCGUAAAGAGUGCGUAGGCGGUUUUCUAAGUUUGGUGUGAAAUCUCCCGGCUCAACUGGGAGGGUGCGCCGAAGACUGGAAGGCUUGAGUAUGGGAGAGGUAAGCGGAAUUCCUGGUGUAGCGGUGAAAUGCGUAGAUAUUCGCAAGAACACCAGUGGCGAAGGCGGCUCACUGGCCCGGUACUGACGCUGAGGUGCGAAAGCGUGGGGAGCAAACAGG
rnacentral:rRNA from 1 species